rnacentral:rRNA from 1 species
GAUGAACGCUGGCGGCGUGCCUAACACAUGCAAGUCGAACGCUCGCAAGAGAGUGGCGCACGGGUGAGUAACACGUAGCUAAUCUGCCCUCAAGACAAGGAUAACUGUAGGAAACUACUGCUAAUACUUGAUAAGCUUACGGACUGUAGAGGUCUAUAAGAAAGAUUUAUCGCUUGAGGAUGAGGCUGCGCGCCAUCAGCUAGUUGGUAAGGUAAUGGCUUACCAAAGCGACGACGGCUAGGGGACCUGAGAGGGUGACCCCCCACACUGGGACUGAGACACGGCCCAGACUCCUACGGGAGGCAGCAGUGUGGAAUAUUGGACAAUGGGCGAAAGCCUGAUCCAGCAAUGCCGCGUGAGUGAUGAAGGCCUUAGGGUUGUAAAGCUCUUUUACCCGGGAUGAUAAUGACAGUACCGGGAGAAUAAGCCCCGGCUAACUCCGUGCCAGCAGCC